rnacentral:rRNA from 1 species
AGUGAACGCUGGCGGUAGGCCUAACACAUGCAAGUCGAACGGCAGCACAGUAAGAGCUUGCUCUUACGGGUGGCGAGUGGCGGACGGGUGAGGAAUACAUCGGAAUCUACUUUUUCGUGGGGGAUAACGCAGGGAAACUUACGCUAAUACCGCAUACGACCUACGUGUGAAAGCAGGGGAUCUUCGGACCUUGCGCGAGUGAAUGAGCCGCUGUCGGAUUAGCUAGUUGGCGGGGUAAAGGCCCACCAGGGCGACGAUCCGUAGCUGGUCUGAGAGGAUGAUCAGCCACACUGGAACUGAGACACGGUACAGACACCGACGGGAGGCAGCAGUGGGGAAUAUUGGACAAUGGGCGCAAGCCUGAUCCAGCCAUACCGCGUGGGGGAAGAAGGCCUUCGGGUUGUAGAGCCCUUUUGUUGGGAAAGAAAAGCAGCAGGUUAAUACCCCGCUGUUCUGACGGUACCCAAAGAAUAAGCACCGGCUAACUUCGUG